rnacentral:rRNA from 1 species
UACGUAGGGGGCGAGCGUUGUCCGAAUUUAUUGGGCGUAAAGCGCGUGUAGGCGGCUCUUUAAGUCAGAUGUGAAAUCCUGCGGCUCAACCGCAGAACUGCAUUUGAUACUGGAUGGCUUGAGUGUGGGAGAGGAAAGUGGAAUUCCUGGUGUAGCGGUGAAAUGCGUAGAUAUCAGGAGGAACACCCGUGGCGAAGGCGGCUUUCUGGCCCACCACUGACGCUGAGACGCGAAAGCUAGGGGAGCGAACGGG